rnacentral:rRNA from 1 species
CCUACGGGAGGCAGCAGUGGGGAAUAUUGGGCAAUGGACGCAAGUCUGACCCAGCAACGCCGCGUGAAGGAAGAAGGCUUUCGGGUUGUAAACUUCUUUUAAGGGGGAAGAGCAGAAGACGGUACCCCUUGAAUAAGACACGGCUAACUACGUGCCAGCAGCCGCGGUAGUACGUAGGUGGCAAGCGUUGUCCGGAUUUACUGGGUGUAAGGGCGUGCAGCCGGAGAGACAAGUCAGAUGUGAAAUCCAGGGGCUCAACCCGUGAACUGCAUUUGAUACUGUUUCCCUUGAGUGUUGGAGAGGUAAUCGGAAUUACUGGUGUAGCGGUGAAAUGCGUAGAUAUAAGGAAGAACACCAGUGGCGAAGGCGGAUUACUGGACGAUAACUGACGGUGAGGCGCGAAAGCGUGGGGAGCAAACAGGAUUAGAUACCCCUGUAGUC